rnacentral:rRNA from 1 species
UAGUACGGCGAGUGAAGAGGAAAAGCUCAAAUUUUGAUCCGGCGCCUUGGCUCCCGAGUUGUAUCUAGAGAAGUGUCUUCCGCAUAGACCGUGUAAAGUUCCCUGAACGGGACGUCAUAGAGGGUGAGAUCCCGUACAUGCCACGGACUACCUUGCUCUGUGAUACACUCUCAACGAGUCGAGUUGUUUGGGAAUGCAGCUCAAAAUGGGUGGUAAAUUCCAUCUAAAGCUAAAUAUUGGCGAGAGACCGAUAGCGAACAAGUACCGUGAGGGAAAGAUGAAAAGCACUUUGGAAAGAGAGUGAAACAGUACGUGAAAUUGUUGAAAGGGAAGCGUUUGGAGUCAGUCACGUCUGGCGGGAUUCAGCCUUGCUUCUGCUUGGUGUAUUUCCUGUCCGACGGGUCAGUGUCGAUUUCGAUUGAGGGAGAAAGGCUCGGGGAAUGUGGCCGUCUUCGGGCGGUGUUAUAGCCCCUUGUUGUAUGUCUCAGUUGGGAUCGAGGAAUGCAGCACGCCUUUUGGCCGGGGUUCGCGCCCUCGGUACGUGCUUAGGA